rnacentral:misc_RNA from 1 species
GAUGAAGAACGCAGCGAAAUGCGAUAAGUAAUGUGAAUUGCAGAAUUCAGUGAAUCAUCGAAUCUUUGAACGCAUCUUGCGCUCCUUGGUAUUCCGAGGAGCAUGCCUGUUUGAGUGUCAUUUAACUUCUCAACCACAUUAGAUAUUUUUUUUCCGAUGCCGGCUUGGAUGUGGGGGUUGUUUGCAGGCUUUUUGUAACAAAAAAGGUCGGCUCCCCUGAAAUGUAUUAGUGGUAUCUGAGGCUAUUACUAUUAGGUGUGAUAAUUAUCUAUGCCUUUUGGGUAUGCCGCAUGAACAGAUUAUGCUGCUUCUAACGAAAACUAUUUUGAUGAAUUUGACCUCAAAUCAGGUAGGACUACCCGCUGAACUUAAGCAUAUCAAUAAGCGGAGGA